CCUACGGGAGGCUGCAGUGGGGAAUAUUGGGCAAUGGGCGCAAGCCUGACCCAGCAACGCCGCGUGAAGGAAGAAGGCUUUCGGGUUGUAAACUUCUUUUAUCAGGGACGAAGCAAGUGACGGUACCUGAUGAAUAAGCCACGGCUAACUACGUGCCAGCAGCCGCGGUAAUACGUAGGUGGCAAGCGUUAUCCGGAUUUACUGGGUGGAAAGGGCGUGUAGGCGGGUGUGCAAGUCAGAUGUGAAAACUAUGGGCUCAACCCAUAGCCUGCAUUUGAUACUGUACUUCUUGAGUGCGGGAGAGGCAAUCGGAAUUCCGUGUGUAGCGGUGAAAUGCGUAGAUAUACGGAGGAACACCAGUGGCGAAGGCGGAUUGCUGGACAGAAACUGACGCUGAGGCGCGAAAGCGUGGGGAGCAAACAGGAUUAGAUACCCGUGUAGUC
rnacentral:rRNA from 1 species